CUUAUAAACAAGCUAAACCGUAAGCGGCAACUAACUAAAGAUCCUUCAGUCUAACUAAUACUUCCCUUUCUACUUCCUUCAGACCUCCCAACAACCAGCAGGAGUAUAAUAUAGCAAACACAGUUAUAUCAGACAAGAGAUUUACAAAUAGGAACAAAUAAGGCAUUUAGGCAAUUAGCAAGUAAUAUGCAGUCAAAUAGGCAAUCUCAAACAAUUCAUGUAGUAUGCUUAUGAUGCAUGCCUGUCCCUAGUGGCUGAUGAUAUCAUCUGUCGGUUAUAGAGCCAACCCGACAAGUCCUGGUAGCUAGCCAUUGGACUGUCCCUCUGUCGUGCAUCCCC
rnacentral:lncRNA from 1 species